GACUGAAGCAAAGAGAGCAAAAAAAAAAGCACUUGCUAAAUGGAGGACUACUUUGAGAUGGCUGCUAUUCUCCGGCUUAUUGCCUCCUGUCGGCCAUGGUUUCACAUGAGGUCCGAGGUGUCAGGUCCGCUUCCACCAAUAAAGGCUGUGAUUGACACUAGCGGGAGAGACUUGAGCUGGGAAAAGAAACUGAAUCUCAAUGUAUGAGGGAAAAUCUAAAAAAAAAAAAACAGCAUUGGAGGACAAAGUCAUGCUUCGGCCAUACAUCUGGAAACACUCUAAACCAACAUCCUGGUAUAAAUUUGCAAAACGCAAUACAGGCCGGAUUGUGCGCGGGACGGACGCGGGACGCAUACAAAUGGCCCCCCGUCUAAAGUACCCCCUGUUUCUCUUCAGCCUCAGAAAGUAAUGUACAAUAAAUCAACAAAAGAGCGUUAAUGCCUCCGUUGA
ensembl:lncRNA